rnacentral:rRNA from 1 species
UACGGAGGGUGCAAGCGUUGUCCGGAUUUAUUGGGUUUAAAGGGUGCGUAGGCGGCCUUUUAAGUCAGUGGUGAAAGCCCCAUAGCUCAACUAUGGAACUGCCAUUGAUACUGAAAGGCUUGAGUACAGACGAGGUUGGCGGAAUGGAUGGUGUAGCGGUGAAAUGCAUAGAUACCAUCCAGAACUCCGAUUGCGUAGGCAGCUAACUAGGCUGUAACUGACGCUGAGGCACGAAAGCGUGGGGAGCAAACAGG